rnacentral:rRNA from 1 species
AGUAACGCGUGAGGAACCUGCCUCAUACAGGGGAUAACAGUUAGAAAUGACUGCUAAUACCGCAUAAGCACACAGUACCGCAUGGUACAGUGUGAAAAACUCCGGUGGUAUGAGAUGGACCUGCGUCUGAUUAGCUAGUUGGCGGGGUAACGGCCCACCAAGGCGACGAUCAGUAGCCGACCUGAGAGGGUGACCGGCCACAUUGGGACUGAGACACGGCCCAA